UACGUAGGGUGCAAGCGUUAAUCGGAAUUACUGGGCGUAAAGCGUGCGCAGGCGGUUCGGAAAGAAAGAUGUGAAAUCCCAGGGCUUAACCUUGGAACUGCAUUUUUAACUACCGGGCUAGAGUGUGUCAGAGGGGGGUGGAAUUCCACGUGUAGCAGUGAAAUGCGUAGAUAUGUGGAGGAAUACCGAUGGCGAAGGCAGCCCCCUGGGUCAAGACUGACGCUCAUGCACGAAAGCGUGGGGAGCAAACAGG
rnacentral:rRNA from 1 species